GGAUGUGAGGAUGAUCUGGCUGCGACAUUUGUCGCCCCGUUGAUCGCCAGGGUUGAUGCGGCUGAUCUGGCUGGCUAGGCGGGCGUCUCCCUUCCUCCCUGCCGCUCCAUGUGCGUCCCCCCUGUAGCUGCGUGCUCGGUUGAAGAGGACGACCUUCCCCGAAUAGAGGAGGACCGGUCUUUGGUCAAGGGCAUACGAGUAGCUGUGCUCCCCUGCUAGAACCUCCAAACAAGCUCUCAAAAUACAAAAUGGUCUGGUGAUGGAGUUCUGUGGUAUAGUACUUGCCUAACUUGUGAAGUUCCAGAUUCAGU
rnacentral:snRNA from 1 species